rnacentral:tRNA from 1 species
GGCGGGUAUAGCUCAAUAGGUGGAGCAAUACGUUGUGACUGUAGAGGUUGUGGGUUCGAGUCCCAUUAUUCGCC